UUAUAUAAUGGCGCCACAAAGAAAAUUUUUUUGAUGUGUUCUAAAAGUGUUCCGCUAAUUCAGCAAUCUAAUGAAUCUGUCUUAAUUUUUCUGAAAUCGUGCUUAAUUAUUAUUAGCUAAUCGGCGCUACACCGUUGUUCAAAUACUUAUAAUUGCAAGAAACCCCCGACUAGGACCAGCAGUCAUUGAUGUUAGCAUGUACUACACAAAGAAAAACAGGCAAAGCAUGAAGCCAAAGGAAAUGUUUUAACCAAGGCAUGUUCCUCAAUAGCGGAGAGAGUUUUAUCCAGUGUCGGUUCUGCAGAAGAACCCAUUCAUAGCAGACCACCCAUUGCAGCACUUGUAAGGUCGCUAUAAAGAACCCGACAGACUCUGCGACCAAAAGAUCCCACUGACGUGUCGUCAAGCCUUGACGAAGAUUUCAUCGAUCAUAGUGCACCGGGAUUUUAUCAAAAAAGAGUAAAAGUUGGGGAAAGGCGCCAUCACAUUUUUUGUACUGAUAGACAGAUGCAACUACUCGCACGCGCAAAAAUUUGGUAUAUGGAUGCAACUUUUCGGGUGGUGAACAAGCCAUGGUCUCAGCUGUUUUCCAUACACGCCUUCAUUAAGACUGGAGAGACCACCCGACAGUUACCAUUGGUGUUUUGUGUAAUGUCGGGUAAAAGCCAAGACGACUAUUAUAAGUUUCCAUAUUAGAUGCCAUAGCAAAUCAAAGAUCAUAUAAUAAAAUAAGUCAAAAAACCCAAAUAUGGAAAAAGAAAGAGCUGAAGAAAUGGUGAUUUGAGCACCUAUGCUUUCUCAUAGGUGUUUUUGGAGGUUUCCAUAUUAGAUGCCAUAGCAAAUCAAAGAAAAGAAAGAGCUGAAGAAAUGGUGAUUUGAGCACCUAUGAUUUCUCAUAGGUGUUUUUGGAGGUUAACUACAUCAGAAAGAUCAAGACAGUUGGAA